rnacentral:misc_RNA from 1 species
AAGGAUCAUUAUUGAUUUUUCUAAUGAGGAGUUGAGUUGUUGCUGGCCUCUGGGGAUUAAUUUCUCCAAGGCAUGUGCACACCUUCUCUUUCAUCCACACACCCCUGUGCACUUGUGAGACAGUAAGGUUUCUUUUUUUGGGGGGCCUUGCUGUCUACUUAAUCUACACACACUCUAUUUAUUUUAAAACGAAUGUAAUUGAUGUAACGCAUCUAAUACU